UACGUAGGGACCAAGCGUUGUCCGGAAUCAUUGGGCGUAAAGAGCGUGUAGGCGGCUUGUUAAGUCUUGCGUGAAAUCUCGGGGCUCAACCCCGAGCGGUCGUGAGAAACUGGCAGGCUAGAGUGCGGGAGAGGAGACUGGAAUUUACGGUGUAGCGGUGAAAUGCGUAGAUAUCGUAAGGAAGACCAGUGGCGAAGGCGGGUCUCUGGACAGUUCCUGACGCUGAGGCACGAAGGCCAGGGGAGCAAACGGG
rnacentral:rRNA from 1 species